rnacentral:sRNA from 1 species
ACGAAUUAUUACGAAUUAUUCCUUUAAAGGUUGGACCUAUUUAGGAACAAUUUGCCAACCAAAAGAUGCUGACCACAUUGCAGUGUUUGAUGGGACGUACUGGACAGCACUGGUCACUGCUCAUCAAAUUUGCAAAUUACUUGGAUCGCAACAUAGUACUCACAGUGAUAAUCGUUGGUUUUUACCUAGUUCUAUUGCCAGCGACAUACGAAAUAAAAUGGCCUCUCUU